rnacentral:lncRNA from 1 species
CUAUACUCAUUUCAUUCUAUACACAGCUGUUAAAGGAUUUUCCUUUUUUGUAGUUCUAUUUUUCAGAUUUGAAAAGCAACCAUUUAUUAGAACCAAUAGAGGAGUAUGAAAAGAGGGGGACAAGGAGGAAGGUGGUGGAAGGAGAGAGAAUCAGGCUUCAAACCCAUCAAUAAAUUUGGGGAAUUGUCUUUACUCCACAUACAAGCAUGGGAAGACAUCCCCAAGUGGAAUGAACCGAUAAGAACAAUUUGUUCCAGCAGUCAUGAAGACAGCUGAAGCAGGUGCUACGGAGCCCUUGGUUAGCCAUUAAAGACAUCAAGGUCAUUCACUGCAUCCGGGCCCAUUGCCAGUCAUCUUGACUUUUGUCUUCCACUGGACUUGACUCUGGAAGAGAGAAUGACUUUGAGGAACUCUGACUCAAUUCACAGGCAAGUCAAGAAUCAAUCCAUGAUAUUUUGGUCCUCUUCAAAAACAAAGGAUGAAUAGUAAUAUUUCUUUUAUGUAAUUAGUUAUUUACCCAUUAGAAUGUGAGUUCCUUGAGAACAGGGUUUUUUUUUCCUAGCUUUGACUUUCUGAAUUGGAGUAGGGACAGUCUUCAAAGGAGGAUGCAGUUACAAUUAUCACAGGAGUGGUGAUGAGGGCCUGUCUACAGUUGAAUGGUGGCUGUUUAGUAGGAAAAAAGGUGGCAGAUGGGAGAAAUGUGUCAGAGACAACCAUAGCAAAAUUUGAGUCGAUAUGUCAGGUGAGUAAAAAUGAGGAAUGAAGGAUGGACCCAAGGUUGAAAAUCUGUGUGAGCAAAAGCAUGGAGGUGUCCUUCACAGAAAUUGGCAAAGUAAGUAGAAAAGUAGAUUGAGCAGAAAGAAUAUAAAUUCUCAUUGGAUCAUAGGUUCCAGAGGGCUAUGGAAUAUCUAGUUUGAAAUGUCUUUUGAGCAGUUAGUGAUGUAGGCCUAAGCUCAAUGCACUCAUCUUCCCCUCCACUAGAAAAGUUUCCUACCCACCCACACCUGCACCUCAUUACGUGAUUUAAUAUACCCCAUUUUACUUCUCUAUUCCUAUUUCUUAGUAAAAUCCUCCUUUUCAUUCCUAGAUUUUUUGCAUAUCAUCUUAAACAGCUUCCUACCAUACCCUCUGUCUAGAUAUAUUUAGUCUAAAUACUAUAAUAUUAAUAAAAAUUUAUGAGUUACACA